UAAUGAAUCUUGGUCAAUGGACGCAAGUCUGAACCAGCCAUGCCGCGUGAAGGAUGAAGGUCCUCUGGAUUGUAAACUUCUUUUAUCUGGGACGAAAAAAGGGAAUUCUUUCUCACUUGACGGUACCAGAGGAAUAAGCACCGGCUAACUCCGUGCCAGCAGCCGCGGUAAUACGGAGGGUGCAAGCGUUAUCCGGAUUCACUGGGUUUAAAGGGAGCGUAGGUGGGCUUGUAAGUCAGUGGUGAAAUCUCCGAGCUUAACUCGGAAACUGCCAUUGAUACUAUAGGUCUUGAAUUAUCUGGAGGUAAGCGGAAUAUGUCAUGUAGCGGUGAAAUUCUUAGAUAUGACAUAGAACACCAAUUGCGAAGGCAGCUUACUACACAAUCAUUGACGCUGAGGCACGAAAGCGUGGGGAUCAAACA
rnacentral:rRNA from 1 species